rnacentral:lncRNA from 1 species
AUCAAUUAAGAAGUAUAAUGAAUGAUCUCUAUCUUUAUAUAUCAGUACUGUUCUAUUACAUUUUUCUUUCUUGAAAAUCCUAAACAUUCAGAUCUUGUCAACUGAUCAAAAAUAUUGAUACAAAUGCUAGUAAAUAUAUACUACGUAAUGGCAUUUAAUGGAAAUCUAUUCAAGAAUUUAGUGUGCAUGAUCUCCCAAAACUACUUUUUGAAACCAACUUUACAAGGAUGAAGACAAACGGGGAUGAAGUAAUGAAACUGGGGGAGAGUGGGAAAAGUACAUGCAUUGUGUUUAAACACUUACAAGUUUCCAAAGAUCCAUCCAAAUGUGUGUGUGUUUGGUUUCACUAUUUAAAGUCCGCUAAACAGUUGAAACAAACUCCCAAUUACAUGUCAUUUUGCUAGACUGUAGUACACUAUAACCCAAGUCAUUUCUUUGUGCCUUUCCUAAUAGUCUCUCCUAACUUGCUUAUCUCCCCGUUUGCUAGCAUAUAUAUCAAGCUAGAGCUCUUAGUUCUUCAGUGCCUGGCAAAAAGUCUUCAGUGUGAUGGUUUCUGAACUCAGUUCACUGUAAUCUAGAAUUUAUAUCUUCUCUGACCUUCAUAAUGACUUUCUGCUAGUAAUGGAUCUGUUUAAAAUUUGGAUCAAUGGCAUUAGAUCUUUGUUUAAACUUUGAAUUCUUUGCCUAUAUCAGACCUAACUGUAUAUUUCUUAAUAGCAAUGGGAGUACUGAAACGUGAUAGAGUACUUGACAGUAUAUAAAAUAUUAAUACAUCCCCCAAGGGAAUCUGAUUUUUGUUUCCAGGGCAAUAAAUAAAUAAAUAAAUAAAUAAAUAAAUAAAUCAAACAAACGUACUGUUUAUAAAUGGCUGAUAUCUUUGUAAUAUCCAAAGAUGAGGUACAGGACUGGUCUCAGUAAAUGAUGAGUAUAAUAAGUUUUAAUGCUUAAAAUGAUUGGUAACUCUAAAUUACAUCCCUUAUAGCUUGUAAUUAGAUGGAUUAAUAGCAGAUCAUCUUUCUUUGAAAGCUAUAGGUACAAUGACAUUUGUUAGAUGCCAUGCAUUCUCAUGUUGCAUACUGACUUUCAUCUACACGGAAACCACAGCUACAACAACAAUAUUAUGAACAAACGUGGCCCCCAUGGACAAGAUGAGAGUCAUGUUGAUGAAAGCCAAGCAGAAAGAUUGUCUCUCUCAGUCACAGUGCUGCAGGAUAAACUUAGAAUAAUAAAGAUGUCUCUAGCCCAACUUUCAUCCCUUACUGAGCACUGUUGUGAAGCAAGCAAGAAGUAUCACAGAUUCAAUGGAGGGGAUACUAUUGGGGAGCAUAAGUCCCUUUAGAGACAGAUUUCUCCUCUUUCAGAUAUAUUUCUGCCUGAGCAUAUUUAUUGCUGCUUUUUUAUUAUUGCUUUGUUCCUAUUAAAAGGACUUGAAAGGCUCCCAUCUCCGAGGAGAAAUGAUGAAGUCGUUUAGAAAGAGGACAUUGCUCCAGCAGAAGGGCUUACCCUUUAAUGCUUCUAAGUGCAUCUUUUGGGCUAUAAGUGAGAUCCAUGCCUAGUUUCCCAGAUGAGCAAAUAAACUCUAUUUUGGUAAGGCAUUACUUUCUUUAGUUGCCUCUUGGGUCUGCCUUCAUAAACCCCUGUUUACAGAUUUGCUGAAUCAUGGAAAAUCUCAACUUCUGUAGCUAGAAAUCUGCUCUAUAUAUUUGUAAGGAAAAAUAGCUAUAUUUGUAGAAAACAUCAUAGGAGAAUGUCAGCUUCUCACCAUGUAUAUAAUAGCUAGGCAUCUUCCUAUCACUGAAGUUUCGCAUCAGUGGUUGCUUUAGUUAUUUGCUUUUGUUUUGCAUUUUCAAUUUUCUAAGUACUAAAGAGUGCUCCUUGAAUAAAAUAAUCCUCUCCGCUCUUUUCAGAAUUGAAUCACAGUAGUUCAGUUCUUUAAAAACUAUAAGUUGGAAAUUAUAUAGAUAUUAAUUCUGAUAUUAAUGUGCCUUACUGUUAGGCUGGGAUAAUAGAUGUGUGCAUAAACUCUCUGAGUUAUAUUGUGUAUGGGUAAACAUCAUGUAAGAACCAGUUUUGAUAAAAUGUAAGUCCUAGUAGUCACAUAAUAAAUAUCAGUUAUUGUUACUAUUGGGGAAUGAGAGUUAAUACCUAACAGUAAGAGAAACACUAUGAACAUAUACUAUGUCUAUAACUAACAUCCACAAAUUUCCCCAUGAGCCACAGAAGUGUAUGUAAACAUUCUUUCACAUCUGCAGAAUCUAGAACUUUGAGUAAAUGUUUAAUUCAAACUCACCCAAUCCCAGAGCUACCCCAUGUCCAAAUAAAGAAGAGGUUCCUGCUCAUUCAGGGCUAACCCUCCUGCAUUCCCACUGAGUUAAUCCUGUACUCCAUCCCAUGCUAGCAGUGCCAGAACAAGCUAUUUCUUCUUUCUGUUUCGAGAGGUUAUAUGUUGCCUUACCCACAUGCCUUCAUUUAGAAAUCAGCCAGUUCGCUAACAUCCUCAUAAAAACAGUGCUCUGUCCAUAAAGCCCCAGAACAGAUUUAGGCUGCUGACUAUUAAACCAAUCUUUUCACAUCAUCAUCUCCUUCUUAAGAAAUUUCAUUCAAAAACUCUUUUCUUUCAUACGAAGUUCCUAAAUUGGUACUUUUCAGAGGAAUGGGGGAAUUACAAUACCUCUGGGCUUAAGUUGUUACCAACUUCAUCCUAGAAAAUAUAAGGUAUAUAACCAGGCUAUUUAUAGGACUCAAAGGUUUAGAUGCUAUUAUAUUAGGAAGGUAUUGAUCAUAAAAAAGAAAAACAUUUAUUUUCCCUAUAUAUGGUCACACAGAUACUUCCCUCCUAGGGCCUGGGAAAAGUCACCUUUUUAUUAAUGCAUCUUACAGUCCAAUAUCAGCUGCCUUUGGAUUAUACAAACUUAUACUCCCAUUACUCCUUCAGACCAAAGACAAAAUGAAUGACUGAAACCUUCCCCUCAUAACAUUUAAAUAAUCUAUUUUGUUUUCAGGGCAUCUGUGGUCAAAUAUUUUACAUUCUCUUUCAAAUCCUCUGGGCAGUGCCAACAUUUAAAACCUACGUAUUUGGCAGGAAACGUGCUCUUUCAUGUGGUUUGUUUAGUCCUAGCCAGGGAUUAAACAAAAGAAGACAUAUUUGUAAGCUAUAAUGCAAAUUUUGCUUUUAUGGCAAAUACCAGGCUUUUUGUACCAGUAUCUUAUUGUCUCUAACUCUCCUGGCCAGUGGCAGCAAUGUGAAAUAUUUCAUAUUGAAAUAAAAAAAGGAAGAGAGGGAAGUGGAUACACACAGAAUUCAGUAAGAUGACUGAACCCUUCAGUUCAUACAGAAUGGCAAAAAUAAAAACACAAGUUCCUGUUUUGACACACCUCAGAGUUAACAUUGAGUUUUAGAAUCUAUUUAUUGUCAGGAAGUUCAUAGUAUUGAAUGCUCAUAUUUGUCUGACUAUAGUCCCACUAUUGCUAACUCCUUUACUUGCAAUUUCAUAAUAGAGAAAAAAAACACAAAAAAGCGAGUAUAUAGUACACUAAAACCCCAAUAUUCUGGCAUUUUAACACCUGAUUUAAAAUGAAACUC